rnacentral:rRNA from 1 species
GACGAACGCUGGCGGCGUGCUUAACACAUGCAAGUCGAACGGAAAGGCUCUGCUUUUGUGGGGUGCUCGAGUGGCGAACGGGUGAGUAACACGUGAGUAACCUGCCCUUGACUUUGGGAUAACUUCAGGAAACUGGGGCUAAUACCGGAUAGGAGCUCCUGCUGCAUGGUGGGGGUUGGAAAGUUUCGGCGGUUGGGGAUGGACUCGCGGCUUAUCAGCUUGUUGGUGGGGUAGUGGCUUACCAAGGCUUUGACGGGUAGCCGGCCUGAGAGGGUGACCGGCCACAUUGGGACUGAGAUACGGCCCAGACUCCUACGGGAGGCAGCAGUGGGGAAUAUUGCACAAUGGGCGGAAGCCUGAUGCAGCAACGCCGCGUACGGGAUGACGGCCUUCGGGUUGUAAACCGCUUUCGCCUGUGACGAAGCGUGAGUGACGGUAAUGGGUAAAGAAGCACCGGCUAACUACGUG